UUUCAUGUUGUAUGCAUCCAACAUGAACACCCUCGGGUGAGAAUAAACAAAACCUUGAGUCCACCUCUAACAUCCGUCUUAGAGGUUUACCAACUUGACCCAAUCGAUCCAACUUUCGCCACCGUAUAGGUUCACGUCACUCACGCACCUAUAACCUUAGGGUUCACCGUCCUAGGGUCUCCUAGGUCCAUCCUAAACUCUCUCUUUACUUGCUCUUAAUUGCUCUGAUACCACUUUAUCUGUCACGCCCCGAGACCGCUACCAAUUUGGUCCGGCCCGGGCGCGUCGAACAGACGCCGAACGGACAGGACCUCCCCUGUCCGCCCAAGGCUAACCAACAGAUCAUGUAUAAGAAUUUACCCAGGAAUUAAUUCAUGAAUACACGAUCAAGAAGCACCACCAGUGCAACAAGACGAGAGCAAGAUACAAGUAUAAAAACAUAUACAAGUACAUAAAGAGAGAAGAGGCGAUCUAUUACAUUCAUUCAGCCUUUAUAAUACAAUUUGAUUAUACAUUAAGUUUCUAAACAUAAUAUAAAGCUUACAUCUUCCAAAAGAUAAACAUUAGCUUACAUUCAUUCCAGAAUAUCUCACAUCCUAUACAUCAUCUACUCUCAAUGCAUAUAAAGGUGACUCUAAUGCAGAAAUAGGAAAGUAAACUAAUGCAACUAGGGCGCUAGGCCCUUACCGCGAUCCUCGCCGUGUGAACUCGCGCUCGGCCCUGUAGUAAAANNNNNNNNNNNNNNAGACCGUUUCUUCACUCCACUCUCCUUGAACGCCUCGCGUUCCUGUCUCACUUCCCCAGCUGCCGCAUCGAGUAUCGUAGGACCCGAAGCCGCCAGAGGGACGCUAGCCGGCAGGGGAUGCGUCACCGCCGGAGUCACCAAAAUGCUCACGCCCUCAGGCGCAUCAGGCGCGCGAGCGGAGGGCGCGGGCGGACCAUGGCCUUCAGUUGUCGUCUCGGCCGCCGUCGCCACUUGUCGCUCCAAAAGUUCUUGGAGCCGCUCGAUCUGACUUCCUUGGCGUUGAAUCACGCCGAUAAGCAUAGUCAUCUGCGCUCAUAAUUCUUGCACUUCACUUGACCCAGCUCGCUCAGGCACCUCGGGAGGCGGUGCCGAAACGGUUCUACGCGCGUAGUGUCUCCUUGGUGCCAUUAGCUCCUGAAACACAACGACUCGGUUAAUUACCUUAACCUGCUAACCUCGUCGCAACUAUUAGACGACGCGACUCAAUCGGGCGAAAGUCAUACAAGGGUGCCUAUUCUCACCACUCAGUUUCAUGUUGUAUGCAUCCAACAUGAACACCCUCGGGUGAGAAUAAACAAAACCUUGAGUCCACCUCUAACAUCCGUCUUAGAGGUUUACCAACUUGACCCAAUCGAUCCAACUUUCGCCACCGUAUAGGUUCACGUCACUCACGCACCUAUAACCUUAGGGUUCACCGUCCUAGGGUCUCCUAGGUCCAUCCUAAACUCUCUCUUUACUUGCUCUUAAUUGCUCUGAUACCACUUUAUCUGUCACGCCCCGCGACCGCUACCAAUUUGGCUCGGCCCGGGCGCGUCGAACAGACGCCGGACGGACAGCACCUCCCCUGUCCGCCCAAGGCUAACAACGAGAUUGUGUACAACAAGUUCCCAGGAAAAUAACUUGAAUACAUACACAAUCGAUAACUACAACGAGAGCACAAUCAGUGCAAAACAACCAAGAGCAAGAUACAAGUAUAGAACAUACAAGUAAUGAUAAAGAGAGGAACAUCUAUCUAUUACAUUCAUUCAGCCUUUAUAAUACAACUUGAUUAUACAUUAAGCUUCUAAACAUAAUAUAAAGCUUACAUCUUCCAAAAUAUAAACAUUAGCUUACAUUCAUUCCAGAAUAUCUCACAACCUAUACAUCAUCUACUCUCAAUGUAUAUAAAGGUAACUCUAAUGCAGAAAUAGGAAAGUAAACUAAUGCAACUAGGGCGCUAGGCCCUUACCGCGAUCCUCGCCGUGUGAACUCGCGCUCGGCCCUGUAGUAAAAUGGGGGUGAGAACUAACUUCCUUAGUUCCCAGUGGGUUCGGCCGCCGACUCCGCCGAUCUCCCCACUAGGUCCAAGUUGGGCACAAGUAGAUAAUCGAUAGAUAGAUAGAUAAGGAAAGCGGUAAAUGACAGCAGUAAAGCUACGCUACUAUGCCCAAUCAUAAAUAUAUGAAUGCAUGUACAAUGAAAUGGAUAAACAACAAUCCCAUUAUCAUGUCCAAAGGUAAAGUUAUUUACUCGUUCACCAAUCUCAUUUACUUGUUUCUCAAUCUCGUGGCUUCCCUGAAGGAGCCUACUGCUCACUAGCCAUCUCGAAGGUAGGGAGAGUCAACUCGCACUACGAACCGAGACCGUCUGGCGGGCCCAAAAUAGGCAAUCCCUUGGGACCCGAAAUCGGCAAUCCCACGUGACCAACUCCGGAGCGCACUACUUGUGUGGGGCUUCCAUCACAAGAUUUAAAAACAGACCGUGAGCAUGAUCCAAUCCUCGUCUCGAGAAUACCCUAUCCUCUAGGGUUACAACCAUCAUAUAGUCCAUAGGUUUCAUAUACACUAUGACUCAUAGGUGUCACUUGUUCUUUUGUUUACUAUCAACUAGAUGCCACUCGUUCUUUACAAGUUUCCAAUGCAAUAGCCAAUGCAUUAUUAAAUUCCCAUCCACACUUAUCAUCUCAUUAUAGGGUUCCACAUCACAUAUAUAAACCUCAAGCAUGCUAGAUAUAAGUACUAAGCCAAAUACAUUAUUCUACCAAAGAACAUGCAAGGUAUAGGACCAAACCAUCAUUUAUCACCCUAUAAUGCAAGAUGUCAAUAUGCAAUUUGAUCAAUAUAAAACUUAGACAUAAAAGGGAGCCCGGUUGCUUCGGGAUGGACACCACUCACCUUUAUCGCAUUCCGAUUGCUCGUCGUCACUUGCAAUCGGCCUCCCGCGGCGCACGCCGCUCGGCUUGACCCAAUCCGCGUGCGCGAACACCAAACGACCUCGGAUCCGCGAUCCGAAAAUUAAAGGUCUUCGGUUUCCUAUUACGAUGCUUCAAAUCCGUUUCCAGGAUUUUACGACGUCGCCUUGGCCCUCCAGGCGGAAACGAAGCCUAAACGUCCGUUUCUUUAAUAACUUCGCACCGUCUCGACGAAUCGCCGAACCGUCGCUUCCAACACGUUCAGUGACCUAUCAAUUAGGUUUACAGAGGGUCAAAUGAGAUCAAACCCUUAUAUUUCCAAAAAUUGCAUUUUGAACCCUAGGUUUAUAACUAGGCAAGAAUUAACUAAAUUGAUCCUAGAUUCUAGCAAUAAUCAUCUAUUUAGCAUGCUAGAAUAGCUCUAAAUCCAUUCUUGAAGCUUAAAACCCAAACUACAAAGAGAUACCAUUAAAGGGUUUUGAAGCUUACCUUCAAACCUUGCUCCAAUGGAGAGGAAGAAGAUGGAGAAGAUGGAAAUCCACCUUAGAGCUUCGAUCUCCACCAAAAUCAUCUCUUUUUGGGAGAGAUUUAGAGAGAGAAAGGGAUUUCUCUCCUUUCCUUUCCAUGCGUGUG
rnacentral:lncRNA from 1 species